rnacentral:rRNA from 1 species
NAACGACUCUCGGCAACGGAUAUCUCGGCUCUCGCAUCGAUGAAGAACGUAGCGAAAUGCGAUACUUGGUGUGAAUUGCANAAUCCCGUGAACCAUCGAGUCUUUGAACGCAAGUUGCGCCCGAAGCCUUCGGGCCAAGGGCACGUCUGCCUGGGCGUCACGCA